rnacentral:rRNA from 1 species
UACGGGGGGGGCAAGCGUUGUUCGGAAUUACUGGGCGUAAAGGGCUCGUAGGUGGCCAACUAAGUCAGACGUGAAAUCCCUCAGCUUAACUGGGGAACUGCGUCUGAUACUGGAUGGCUUGAGUUUGGGAGAGGGAUGCGGAAUUCCAGGUGUAGCGGUGAAAUGCGCAGAUAUCAGGAGGAACACCGGUGGCGAAGGCGGCUUGCUGGAACAUUUCUGACGCUGAGGCUCGAAAGCGUGGGGAGCAAACAGG